AGAGAGAGAGAGAGAGAGAGAGAGAGAGAGAGAAAGAGGCUUUUGCAAAGGAUAAAAAACAGGGAAGAUAGGUCAGUCAGGAAAACUUUCACUAAAUUUGGGGAUAAUCUGUGUAAGGGAUCAGAUAAGACAGGUGUGGGAUCUCUAGGAACAACCACUCCUUGUCCUGUUGCCUCAGCCCUGGAGACUCAUUCAGUGUUACAUUUGCCAGGUCAAGGAUGCAGUGUAGAGUUCUAGGUUAUUCUACACCCACCCUGCAGCCUCUUCAGCCUAAGAGCUCUUCUGUAAUGUCUGUCUUUGCUAUUUUUUUUCUUUUAUUUUGGAGCUGGGGACCAAACCCAGGGCCUUGUGCUUGCUAGGCAAGCACUCUACCACUGAGCUAAAUCCCCAACCCCUGUCUUUGCUAUUUUUAAACCUCCUGCAUCUAACAUAUACCCCAUACCUACCUUUCCUCUCCUAGGCCCAGUAGGUCAUAUUUUCACAUUUUUAAAAAAUCACUCCAUGCCUCCGGAUAGAUCUUUUCUUCUGUAUAGCAGAUGAGACUACUGAAGCUCAGACAGAUGAGUGGGUGGGAAAGGUCUCAAGUAAUGUCCCUCAUAUACAGGAGUGUUUCUGUCCAGGUCUCCAGGAAGUCAGACGCCUGGCUUUGCCCGUCCUGUGCAAAAUUCAAUCCUAGAAGUUUCCCACUCCACCAAAGGAACCACAGCGCGUUAGCUUAUAGAGAUAGACUGGAAGACACUCACCCCCAAACAAGACCUUCACCUGAGGUCUCGGCAGAUACUCAAUUUGACACAGGAGGAAAGGGCCCAGUUAGUAGGCAGGCCUGAGGACCUAUUGUGAAAGGGUGGCCACAGUCUUCCUGCCGAGCAGGGAUGGUUUCUGCUCUAGGGUUUCUCCCCCUAGAGCAAUGGUUCCCAAGCUUCCUAAUGCUGCAACCCUUCAGUACAGUUCCUCAUGUGAUGGUGACCACAACCAUAACAUUGUUUCCAUUGCUACUUUGUAACUGUAAUUUUACUACUUUUGUGAAUCCUAGUACAAAUACCUAUAAUUUUUGAUGGCCUUAGGUGUCCCCUAUGAGAGGGGAACUCUUACCAACCCACAGGUUGAGAACAACUGCUCUAGAGUCUUUACCAGAAGUCCUAAAGGAUCACAAAUAGUAAGUCCUUACUUAGUUCUGUGCUUUGCUGAUCAAAAUCAUAUAAUUUCCCCUUCUUUUUAUUUUUUACUUUGGUGCAAAACCUAUUCUGAAAAUUUUGCCAUUUUUUCCUUCUUUAAAAAAAAAGUUUAGAAAACGCUUUCCCAAGCGACUUUAGGCCCUUGCAGCUCUCAUGCUACACUCCUAGGUCAGCUUGACAGCCAGUGCUUCUGAGUGCCUUGGGUGAGCCUUGAUGCCUCAAUCCUGUCACAUCCCCAGCCGGCUCACUGAAAGGCACUCGCUGUUUUCUAAGUCUUUAGGGAGUCUCUUUGGGAGCCUGGGUUGCCAUUGAUAAAUGGCAUUAUUUCCUGAGCGUAACUAGGGACUCCAUACAGCCAGGGGACAUCACGGAGUUACGAGUCUGCUCACCUGUACCAUGACACAUGUUUACAGACUCACGCAUGGGACUUCUACUUCAUAUUUGCCUUUGGACAGUUGGAGAAAUGUGUUUUCUCCAAAACAACCAUCUAGCAGUGGUUUUGGGGCUUGGGAAGUAGCAGAUGAGUCACGGUUCCAAGGCUAGCCAAAAUGAAUAAUUAUUUUCUGACCCAGAGCAUACUCUUUUAUUUCUAUCGCUAACUUAGAAAUGCCAGAGUUCCGAUCUGAGUCACUCAAUUCCAGCUCAAAGCUCAGUGGGACAAAUGCAAGCACAAUAGGAAUAGUGUUAUACCGGAGAAUCCCAGAGCCCUGGACCUCUGCUCAUCUAUAGCCCAAGGCUGCAGAGUUGGUACUGCCCCUGGGGUUGUGGAGGUGUAGCCCUGAGAGCAAAGCAGCUGGCAGAGACUAAUUAAAAUGAGGCUUCAGAGGAAAAGCUCUCAAAGAUUCCAAAGAGAGACUGAAGAGUUCUUCCCCUACCCCGGAAGGGCUGAGGGCUGCAUGUGUUCCUAUGUAUCUAGAUACUUUUGCCAGUGUGGGAUUUUUUUUUUCUCAUCUGAUGGAACAAAACACAUCGCUGCCUAAUAAGACUCUGUGGGACCUUUCUCGAGGAAAUGGCAGGAUGGGGAGGGCCAGGAGGCGGUGAGGAUGGACGUUCCAAUCAGGCUCAGUGUGUGCAGUCGUACGCCUGCUGAGUGAUGGCUGUGUAGUCAGGAAGUUGUGUCACGCCAGUAACUCAGCGGUAGUGUUUGUUGGGCAAUACUGAGAAUAUAGAUAGAAAUAAACACUUACUGACAGUUUUGUAAGUCCGAAAUCAUGGGCUGUCCAAUGAGCAGAUGAAGCCUUUGACAACUUCCCCCGGAAGGGCAGCACCUAGUUAGCCAGUGUACAGCUGGUAGGUGAUACAUUGGAGAUCCGUCUAUGCUUUUCACCCUGCUGGAGUGUUGGGGGUGGGGCGCGUGUGCUGCCUCUACCCCCCAACCCCGGGCUUCAGGCCUCGGGUAGCCUAUGGUUCCAGCAGCAGCAGAGGCUAGACCUUCUUAAUUGCAUAUUAAUGGCUGCUGCAGCCACACCUGUUCACGGAGAGUUUAAAGAGCUAUUUUUCCCUACUACACCUCUGAAGCCGAUGGCGUUCUGACAGUUCGUCCACCUAGUGCUGUGAACUGGUCUUCAAGUAUGUUCUGUAUAAGAGGGAACCAUUUCUCAGAUGCUUUGUGCUGAAGUUCCAAGUGUAACUUUCAUCUGGAGAAUACCGGAGAGUGGAGGUGGGGCAUACAUAGACGAUUCUAAAAGGAAAUUCAAAUAGAUCAGGAUGUGAAGAAGAGCGACCUUGAAGCAAUGAUCACUGAGAGGACUUGGUGUCAAAGCACAGGAGAGGACUGUGGGAGGGGCUGUGGGAUCCUGCCACAAGGCAGAAACUCAGAAGUUUCCAAGUAACAGUCAAAACCCCUAGUGUUUGUCAGGUGGUUCCUUUCUAGGAACUGGUAAAAAUUGGAACGACUCAGGGUCUAUACCUUCAAGAUUUGUGCCAUUAUAGUGUUACAAGUCUUAAGUGUCAACGGAUAUUUAAUUUUGCCAGCUGGACAUUAAUAACUACUAAUUAUUAUAGUUUAAGCAUCCCAGCAUCAGGAAGGUGGGGAGGUGGGCACUAAAAUGCCACUCAAUCAUGAGAACCGGAGCUUGGAUCCCCAGCACCACAGAAAUGGCCACGUAUGGCUGCAAUAUGCACUCGAGAUCCCAGCACUGGGGAGGGUGAGACAGGAGGAUCCCUAGGCUUGCUGGCCAGUCAGACAGACAGAUUGGUUAGCUAUUGGUUCAGUGAGAGCUCUUGUCUCCAAGAAAGGUGGAGCGGGGUUGAGGAAGAUACCUAGCAUUGACCUCUGUCUUCCACACAAACAUAGAUACAUGUGCACGUAUGUGUAUCACAUAUGCAUGUAAAUAUACAGCACAUAUGCAAACAUGUACACAUCUACAAAACAUGCCAGCAUUUCUACAGUGUGCUUCAUAUGGUUUUUCUCAUUUGAUUUACUCUUAACAGCUAUUGUUACUUUAGCUGCAGAAAAGAAAAAUAAGUCACAGAGAAUUUUAAAAAGCUACCCAGAGGUAUGCAGCUAGCAGGUUGAAGGCCCAUGAUUUGAACCUUGUCAUUGUGACUGUAGAAUCUAUUCCUAAUGCAAUUCUAGACCAGGACCACCACCAUCACAACCAACCACCAAACAGGCUUCCUUCGUGGACACAGAUCAUAGAUUUGAGGCAGUGUGUAUUUAAAAAAAAAAAAACUUUGUAGGAUAAUCUCCCUAAAAACUGGUCUUACCUAUAGUUUAAUUUGCCAGUGUUUCUCCCUACCAUAAAAGGUCACUGCAUUCUAAACAGAAUUGACUCUAUGAAAUUAUGGUGGGAAGUGGCCAAAAGGCUGGUGUCUUGGGACAUCACUUUGAUAGAGAGAGGCCGGAUAGCAACUCUAGGACAUUGGGAGGUAACAGCCGAGCAACACUGCUCUGUUUUGAUUGAGGUUUCACCCAGCUAAUUCCUUUAAAAAUAAAAAACCAAGACAAAGCACAAUAAAUGUAUCCAAUUGAGAGAGAGAGAAAGAUUAGAGAUUCUUUCUAACAAUGAAGUCCUUGCAUUUGAGCCAAUGUUUAUAAAUUAUCUACAUUGUUGCAACCUUCUGAUGACCCAGAUGUUUGUCAGAGAUAGGGGAUAUCUGUUCUGGGCCACAGACGUACAGAAGACUCCCUGAGAUGAGCUCACACUUCUGUUAGCAGAUAUGUUUUAACCGGACUGACUUCCCCUUUGCUGAUAUUUUACUGUCCUCUUUGGUCUGCAUUCUUCUUUGGGUCUCCAAAUAUGAAAACGUUUCACUGGUGGUGCUCGGCACAUAGGAAAUAUGAUCAGGAAGGCAUGAUACUUAGGAAUAGGAUGUGAGAGACAGCUGUCACUGUAGGCACAACUCUAGUACUUUUGUGAAGAAAUGACUUUCAUUUCUAAACAAUCUUGAAAAAGGACUCAGGUUACUCAGAUGAGUCCAGGGUCUGCUAUGCACCAACAAUACAAUUGAUUUGAAGAAAGGGUCCAAAAACAACCCGAGACGAAGACCCAUAUCUAAUUUUUUUCCAUGUAACACUUUAUGAAGUUACUGAAGUGCAGAAAUUUCUAAAACCAGUCUUCAAGGGGAGACAAAUCUGAAGAUAGUUAGGAAGACCCCAUGAUGCACACACCCUGGACAAAAGGCAGAGAUAGUUGACUGUGUCACCUGUUUCUAAAUCAAGACAAUUAAAAUUUGCAGCCACAUCUUUAAAAAGGAAGAAAGAAGCAAAGUUCACUGACACAGCAGAUUUCCCACGAAGGAGGAAGGAAAUAUGCUAGUUGGUGACAGUAGAUGGUCACAGUCAAAAUGGCCAUUGUUGUGUGGCUUCAUCAUAGGGUAAAAACUAACCGACAUUAUUGAUCCUUCCUCUCUCCCUCUCAACAAAAAUGGCCAUUGUUGUGUGCCUCCACUGUAGGGUAAAAACUUACCAACAUCAUCGUUCCUCCCUCCCGACGAAUUUUCACUUUCUUUGGAAAUUUCCCCCACUGUGGUUUGAUCUGUGAGGAAUUGCUGUAAGAGGAGAUAAUAGGGCUUAUGGACAGAAAUGAUUGAAUCACUGUGUGCCAAUAAAAAGUGUCCAAAUUGCAUUUCACUACAUAAUGAAUUCUGGUUCGACUUACUUUGACAUAAAUAAGAUUGGGUAAGAGAAACAAGAAGUAAAUCAAAUAAAUUAAUAAAAGCAACAGAGUCCUUUCAAUUUUGUCCCCAGACAGUGUCUGCUUCUUUGUAUAAUAAGACCUGCUCUUAUCAAUUACCAGCCUCGCAUGUUACUCUGCAGAAAGAAAAACUUCAAGGGAACGUUUUGGUAUUCGUCAUUACAGAAAUGGCAACGCUGCUUUUGAAUAUUGAAGAGGUGAAAUUUGAAAACCAGGGGAAUGAGCCCCAACUUUCAACUAAAGAUUAAAACAAUAACAACAACAACAACGACAACAACAAGAUUUUUGAUGCAGGCGUGCAUGCAAUGCUAAUGAUUAGCUGUUCUUCAUAUUUCCCUAAUUAUACACGUUUACCGAACAUGAGAUUUUUGCAUUUUGUCUAGACGAAGGGUCUGUCUCUACUAGCAUAAUGCAUAGCUGUGUUAGUGAGUCUCGUGAAAUAUUGAAUUUGCAUCUCUGAAGCCACUUGUAGAGUUCAUUGUCUUACCCCCGCAGCCAGGGGGAAAUACAGCACUGUUUGCCACAGACCCCAGCACUGAGCACACCACACACCAGUGCCGGGAAGACUGAGUUUAGACGCGUCCUUUAUUUAAUAUCUACUGUGACAGUUGAGCUAUUUUGUAACCCCUUAUUGUUUAUUUGUGUUUCUUGGAAUCUGAGCUUGUUUUCUGAAUGUGAUCAUAAAGCCACCAAGCUAAAUAUAGCACAUGUAAGUUAUGAGCUGGACAUGUUUGAGAACAAAGGGCUGGUUGGCAAAAGUCUAUCUCUUUAUUCUCAAAUUAGCCUAGGGCUCUCGGGAAAAGGACAAUGUAGUAUUUCUUCUAGGUAAACAAGUACUUUAGGAUUCUCCAGAGCAGAGAUGGCCACUGUACCAUUCCGACGACUUCGCCCUGUACUUUAUGCCUGAAGUUUAUCAUCUUUAGUUACUUGCUAUUUCACAAUUCCAUACAGCAGAAAUCACUCCCCCCCACCCCCGAUAAUCCCUUAAAAUUGAGUUCGAAUGAUUCCCCUUAGGAAGACUUGGGAAAAGCCACAUGUUUCUAGAUCUUGAGACAUGGUCUCUAGCUGUCAGAACAGAGUUUGGCAGAAUCACUGUGAUUUCAGAAGCCCUGAGUCUUUGCAUGAAAGAUGAUUUAACUGUGAACUACAUCUGGCGUUCUUCAUCGCGAAGUAAAUCGAGCAUGUGUGAAAUGAACUUGAGGCGGGAUAGAAGAGAUCCUCCCCCCCCCUUUUUUUUAUAUCACGUGAAGCCUGUAAGAAAGCACUAAAGUGAAACUGUAAGCGGAAUGGCUCAGGAAACAUUGGCAGAGGGGGCCAUCAGGAGAAAUGCUUCCCUGUGAGAUUUAUUGACAUCGGUAUUCAAACUAAUUUCCCAACCUCGGUCUUAAAUAACCGUGUCCCUCCCUGUCAACUUCCUCUGGCACACCGAAGAGUAGAAAGAACUCUGGAGAACUCACACCCGUGCCUUAAAUGAGGGUUUGUAACUUUAGGUGGACUGCAUGUUCCCAGAGAUACAGGUGACCGUGGCAAAGAAUUUCCUGUGAACUCAGUGAAAAACCACUGCUCCCUCAAUUGCUUCAAAUAGAAGCAAGGCAGCCGCCAUUCCGGUCAGGAGCUGUGUUCCUCUGCUUUCCUUUGAGAGCAGAGUUUACAGCUGAGUCAGAGAGCAGACUCAGGAGAAUUUGCUUCCACAAUCCAGGAAAGGAGUGACCCCGCCCCCUUAGUGCCCAAGGUUUCGUGGUUUGGAGAUUGUAACUGUGACCCAGCCAAGGCCUAACCUGCGCAUUAAAUCCACCCAUUAACCAUCAUAAUCUGAGAGCCCUCGACAUGCCUGAUGCUGCCGCUUUGACCUGGCGCCCCACACUCUUUGGCCAGCGUCUACCGAGAGUGAGUUCACAUUCUCUUCUUAGGUUUGUUUAUUUUUGCCCAGUCCAUGCCAAUCUCACACAAGGGCCGUCCUUAGGGUGCGUGCGCCAAAUGCUUUCUCUAGAUAUCUUGAAGGAUAAGAUCUUUUCCCACCGGUUCACCCCCACUGUCUCCUAUCACCUGGCUCUGUAUGCUUCUCUCCUUGGCCCCACCCCCUCUUCUCUCUAGCUCCACAGAGCUCUUCUCUCUGGAUUUUGCUGAGGUUGCGCUUCCCCGAGGGCCACUCUUCACUGACUAAGAUAAAAAGGAGCCAGGAAGCAGAUGUAUCUGGGGUAGCUUGUGUCUUCAAGAGACGGAAUUCGCAUCUCCUUGUGAAAGGAGCGGUGAAUGGGUAUAAUUAGGCCGAUGAAUCAGUGGGACCUGGUUACAGAUUUUUUUUUUUCCCUUGACUGGCUUUAAUGAGAAGCAAUAGCUAUCGGUUUCCACCGAAACACACAGAAGGUAAAACAAGAGUGGGUUGGAACAAAAGGUAAGAUUCAGCGUGGGCUUGAACUCCGUUUCCAAGAAUAAGCUUUGCUUGGGUGGAAGGUAUGUGGCGCAGAACCAAAGCAAAACAAAGAAACAGCAAAGAGGAAAGGCGGCUUUGUUGCUCUCUCCGUAUUUUGUUUCAGAGGCUGUCGAUCAGGGAGCGCAAGGGACUUAGCAAAGGCCUAAGCUGGUAUCUUCUAAUCAACUGUAGCAUAUUGUUCCUUUGCCCCUCAGUCCCUCAAGCUAGGCACUUAGCAUAGGUCAGCCCUCAGGGCCAAGGAAUGUUUAGGGGUUGUCUUAAGGUUAUCUCUCAUCAGCCAGCACCCUCCCUUGGCAAUGUGAGCCGGGUCCAAGGCCUUGAGACUUUACUCACCUCUAAGAAAACAGCAAGGACAUAAGAAACUCCCCCCCCCCCCCCCCGAAGGCUCUUUCCUGCAUAACACAAGGAAUUGAAAACACCAAUAUUUCAUCCGCACUUAUGAAUGCUCGUUAAGACCCGGGGUCUAAAGGUUAUGUACUCCAAGAAGAUGGUCUCACAUCCAAACCACGAGGGUACGAUGAUGUCAUUAUGCAACAAGGCGGGUCCAGGAUAAGGCGUAGUCUAUCAUUGGACAAGAAGGAAGGGUAGGCGGGGAAAAGUCUAGGAAGGAGAGAGGAGGAAGAGGAACGACGAAAAUCAAGAUGGAGACAACAGAUCAGGAUGAUCCAGACCCAGGUGGACUUGGUUGAUUUUUGUCUCGUCCAGUAGGUUCAAGUCCAGAGAGUGGCCAAGACACUGUUGGUUCCCUUGAACGUCACUGCUCUCCCAUAGCUUUCUGCUAGGAGGGCAAAAUACCCGAGAUAACCAACUUCAAAAGAGGAACAGCUCACUUCUCUGCAGGUUUCAGCCUGCGGUAGUGCUAUUAAAGGGCCCAGCUGUUAAAGCCAGCACCUCAGUGAUGUCAUCCGCGCAUGGCCAAGCCUUCAGCACAGCAGACUUGGAAAGGGUCGAUGACCUAAACCACGGAGCCAUUCACAACAGCUCGCCAUGUCUUCUGUGUUUGGCUAUUAAGGUGUCUGCUUGCUCCCUCAGACCUUAGCGAAGACGAGUUCUUAAAACGUGGAACCAUGGAAGACCUGGGCUUACAUUUUUUCCCCCACAUUAAAGAAAGCUUACUUGUUAGCA